UCAGGUAACAGAGGGUUUAUCGUGCUCAGAUUGAACGCUGGCGGGAUGCUUUACACAUGCAAGUCGAACGGCAGCACGGACUUCGGUCUGGUGGCGAGUGGCGAAUGGUGAGUAAUGUAAUUGAAUCGUGCUCAGUAGCGGGGAUAACUGCCGCGAAAGCGUAGCUAAUACUGCAUACCUUUCGGGGAAAGCGGGGGACUUCGGGCUUUCGCACUAUUAGAGCGGCCGAUAUCGGAUUAGCUAGUUGGUGGGGUAACGGCUCACAAGGCGACGAUCCGUAGCUGGUUUGAUAUGACGACCAGCCACACUGGGACUGAGACACGGCCCAGACUCCUACGGGAGGCAGCAGUAGUGGGAAUUUUGGACAAUGGGGGAAACUCCGAUCCAGCCAUCCCCAAGUGUGUGCGAUGAAGGCCCGGGUUGUAAAGCACUUUGGCAGGAAAGAAAACGGCACGGAUAAUACCCCGUGCAACUGGGAUUGGGUACCUGCAGAAUAAGCACCGGCUAACUACAAAGAGGCAGCCGCGUGUAAUACGUAGGGUGCAAGCACCGGAAUUACUGGUAAGCGUGGUGCAGGCGGUUCUGAAAGAAAGAUGUGAAAUCCCAGAGCUUAACUUUGGAAACCGCAAUUUUAACUACCGAGCUUGUAGUGUGUCGGAGGUGGAAUUCCGCGUGCAGUGAGCUGCGGAUAUGCGGAGGAACACCGAUGGCGAAGGCAGCCUCCUGGGAUAACACUGACGCUCAUGCACGAAAGCGUGGGGAGCAAACAGGAUUAGAUACUCCUGGUGGAACCACGGCUCUAAACAGAUGUCAACUAGCUGUUGGGGCCUUCGCCUUGGUAGCAGCUAAUCGCGUGAAGUUGACCGCCUGGGGAGCACGGUCGCAAGAUUAAAACUCAAAGGUGAAUUGACGGGGACUCCUUACAAGCGGAUGAUGAUUGAACGAUGCAAACGCGAAAAACUUACCUACCCUUAUGCCCGGAAUCCCGAAGAGAUUUGGGAGCGUCGCAAGAGAACCGGAACACAGGUGCUGCAUGGCUGUUUCGUCAGUUUGUGUCGAGAUGUUGGGUUAAGUCCUGCAACGUGCAACUCUUGUCAUUAGUUACAUGAAAGGGCACCUAAUGAGACUGCCGGUGACAAACCGGGAUAUGUGGAUGACGUCAAGUCCUCAUGGCCCUUGCAGGCGGGUAGGGCUUCACACGUCAUACAAUGGUCGGGACAGAGGGUCGCCAAAUCCGCGAGGGGGAGCCAAUCCCAGAAACUCCGAUCGUAGUCCGGAUCGCAGUCUGCAACUCGACUGCGUGAAGUCGGAAUCGCUAGUGGGAGAAUCGCGGAUCAGCAUGUCGCGGUGAAUACGUUCCUGCCCGGGACACACCGCCCGCCUGCACUCCUGCUGGAGUGGGUUUUACCAGAAGGGAAGUAGCCUAACCGGCAGAGGGCGAUUACCACGGUAGACCUGAUGACUGGGGUGAAGUCGUAACAAUAA
rnacentral:rRNA from 1 species